AGCUGUACCAGUUGCAUGCCCACAUCUCCAGCAUUUGUCUGAUAUGUCUGCGUUCAUGUGGUUUAGUGCGUCGGGUGUUCUAUACCAGUGGGACAGCAGCUUAAAGCUUGUCUCCUAAAACUUCGAGCUGAUGGAGCAUCUGUGGGUGAGUAUGAGGAUUUUGUCCCAGUCUUGUUCGGUCAAAGUGACUCCCGUCUCCCUUUCCCAUUUAGCGACGCCCGUCUCCCUUUCCCAUUUAGCCAUGUACAGGUUUAAUUUCUCCAUUGAGAAGCAGCACGUAUAGCAGUGAGAUCCCCUUCUCUAUGUGUCGCCUAGCCAUGCAAAGGCUUUUGAAUUAUGUGAGGU